rnacentral:rRNA from 1 species
UACGUAGGGUGCGAGCGUUAAUCGGAAUUACUGGGCGUAAAGCGUGCGCAGGCGGUUCGUUGUGUCGGUGGUGAAAGCCCCGGGCUUAACCUGGGAAUGGCCAUGGAAACUGGCGAACGUGGAGUGUGGCAGAGGGGGGUGGAAUUCCGCGUGUAGCAGUGAAAUGCGUAGAGAUGCGGAGGAACACCGAUGGCGAAGGCAGCCCCC